ensembl:processed_transcript Six3os1 SIX homeobox 3, opposite strand 1
UUCGGAGCCCACCGGCUGCUGAGGGGAGGAGGCGAAAGGAGGGGGCUGGGAGUCCACGGGUCGGGGCAGCAGGGACUUCAGGCGGCGGCGUGGGGGGCUAGAUCCGGAGGAGAGGGGAGGGGUGGCGGGGGUCGGAGGAACACGCAGGGCGGAGGGGUGUGGGGCUCUUUAAGAGCCACACGGCUAGCAGGAGAGGCGUGCGGCCCUGUGCUGGUAGCGCACUGACCCCGAAGGGGAUUUAGCGGGAAAGGAGCGACCUGGUUCUGGGGGCUUUGUCCGGGGGCGCCCAGAAAGGCCGAGACACAAGAAUAAGAAGCGCUUGCAGCGUGAAAGGCUGCGAGGAGCGGCGGCGCUGCUGCUCUUGACUUCUGAGCAGGGCUUAGAAGGCCUGCCCCGGCUUAAGCUGAACUGAGGGUGCUGAGCCCUGAGUCCUGGCCUUUAAGCUGAGGAGGCGUGGGAUAGGGGCGGACGCUGGAGUAGUGGGUCUUCUUGCGACAACCCCCUCUUGGAUCUUACAGCCUUGCUACCCUAGCGCAUGGUUGUUAGCCUAGCCCGCCGCGUCUGGCAUAGCCAAAGAAAUUUACUUUCCCAGCUUGGCUUUUGCUUUUGUGUGUCCACCUCAAGCAGAUCCGGAGCUGGCCGACCCCAGACUGAUUCUCAACAGGUGGCUGGUGAUUGGAAGAGAAUCACCAAGCUGAGGAGGAAGCGAGGAUCCUGAAAGAAUUUCUAGAAGCUCCGUCCGAGCCCAAAUCACACAGGCUCUAAGUACUGGUCAAUAACCAGGAGUGAAACAGAAACCUAGGCCACACACUCAAGUCCCUCAAGUGUCUGAAUGAGGGGCUAGAGCGCUAGGCCAUGAGUGGCCACUAUGGACGCUGCAUCAUGGAGUCCUGUCUGGUCCCUCCUUCAACCCCCCCCCCCCCCUGCUUCAGACUGCAAGGAGAUCUAGAUUAGAAGAAGCUGGGGCGUUUGGAACCGGAAGAGGCAGCAUGUUGGUCAGGAAGAACCCAGAACACCUGCCUCAGACACAGCCAAUCUGUCCGAACACAAAAGGCAGGGACCCGCAGGGCUGAGGGGCUAUUAAGUCAAACCUGAAGUCACACUGAAGUCACAGCCCCAAUGUCCUCAGACAGUCCCCAACCCUCUGCAGCAAUGUGGACAUGUGUCAGUGUAGCUGAAAAGCUUCUCCUGUGAGCUUUAACAACUUUCUGGUGUAAGUUCUGAGAGGGCCGAUUGCUUAUUCAUGUGGAAGCAAGACGCCCAGUCCGCUUUGCCUGUUUUUGCUACUCUUUGUUGUCUCGUGUGGGGGGGAGUGUUAUGGUAGCUGCAAAUGGCUUCUCCAGUGACAUUUGCUGACAUUCAGUGAAGUACAUUUAUCAGCGCUCACGAGCUCACCUCCGCACAUGCAAUCCAUUUUGUUUUGUUCUUCAUGGUAACCUCCUUCCCAACACCCGUGCCCUGAAAAUGAUGAAGGGCAGGCGGCGCAUUUCUCAAGCUGCACUCAAAUGUCACUGUGAAAAAUCUUUAAUGGACUAAGUGUAGCUUUUCACGUUACAACUUGUCAGGUACUGAGAAAUUCUAGAGUUUCUCCUUAAUCCACGAGUCAUUGGAACCACACAUCUGCAGGUAGAGACUAAUUAUAAGCUGUACCAGUCAGAACUGGGCAAGCAGAGACCAAGGAGAAAACAUUCAGUAUCAGUUAAUUCUUUAUUACUAUCAUUAUUAUUAUUAUUAUUAUUAUUAUUAUUAUUAUUAUUAUUCUCAUUCCCUUUUUGCUACUUCGUUUCCUACUCAGAGAAUAUGCCAGGUAUGAGCAAUGUGUUACUCUAAUUAAUUGAGUGACAGCCCCCAACUAGCUCUCCAGGCAGGCUUACAGUCUCUACGCACUCAGCUUUCGCUGUAACACUUUUCAUCUUUCCCUCUAACGUAUCUGACCCUGAAGCAUAAUCCUGGUCCCUUAGGGUUGGCCAUGAUGGAGCCAUUGAGAGGAACUGAGAUGUGUCCUGUCUCCUGUCCACUUAGUCAUCCCUCAUCAGAGGGCAUGGCAUUGGAGCCUAGAGACUCACAUCAUCAAUGUGUAAGCCUUCAUUUCCUUCCCCUGCCCCACACUGUGUCGGAGCAGUGCCACACUCACAGUGGUGGCCUACAGACUCCCUCUAAGCCUUGCAUAGGGUUUGCUCGGUCUGGUUUUACCCCUUUGAAUGGACUCAGCACGGUGGCUGUUCUUCAUGGGCAAAUCAGACCACACUCUAUGGGCCAUGUCUUCGAUGUUCUGCCCCCGCUUCUCGGUUCGCAGGCAGGAACCUCCUCACCCAUGUGUUACCGUUACGAUGGGGUCUCUGGAAUGCUGUUGGCUCAUUCAGGUGAAAUCAUCAUCAUCAUCAUCAUCAUCAUCAUCAUCAUCAUUAUAUUCUAUUUAUAUGAGUACACUGUAGCUGUCUUCAGACACAACAGAAGAGGGCAUUGGAUCCCAUUACAGAUGGUUGUGAGCCACCAUUGCUCACAAUUGCUGGGAAUUGAACUCAGGACCUCUGGAAGAGCAGUCAGUGCUCUUAACUGCUGAGCAGUCUCUCCGGCCCUGCAGGUGGAGCAAGCUUCAGAGAGAAGUCUUUUCCCUUCCACAAUGUAAACAAACACGGACUCUGCCGGACUUGUGACCUUCAAACUCUCGGCUUCUAGAACUGUUCAGAAUAAAAUUCUGUUCCUUAUAAGGUA